AUUCUUGGUCAUUUAGAGGAAGUAAAAGUCGUAACAAGGUCUCCGUAGGUGAACCUGCGGAGGGAUCAUUACACAAAUAUGAAGGCGGGCUGGAACCUCUCGGGGUUACAGCCUUGCUGAAUUAUUCACCCUUGUCUUUUGCGUACUUCUUGUUACCUUGGUGGGUUCGCCCACCACUAGGACAAACAUAAACCUUUUGUAAUUGCAAUCAGCGUCAGUAACAAAUUAAUAAUUACAACUUUCAACAACGGAUCUCUUGGUUCUGGCAUCGAUGAAGAACGCAGCGAAAUGCGAUAAGUAGUGUGAAUUGCAGAAUUCAGUGAAUCAUCGAAUCUUUGAACGCACAUUGCGCCCUUUGGUAUUCCAAAGGGCAUGCCUGUUCGAGCGUCAUUUGUACCCUCAAGCUUUGCUUGGUGUUGGGCGUCUUGUCUCUAGCUUUGCUGGAGACUCGCCUUAAAGUAAUUGGCAGCCGGCCUACUGGUUUCGGAGCGCAGCACAAGUCGCACUCUCUAUCAGCAAAGGUCUAGCAUCCAUUAAGCCUUUUUUUCAACUUUUGACCUCGGAUCAGGUAGGGAUACCCGCUGAACUUAAGCAUAUCAAUAAGCGGAGGAAAAGAAACCAACAGGGAUUGCCCUAGUAACGGCGAGUGAAGCGGCAACAGCUCAAAUUUGAAAUCUGGCUCUUUUAGAGUCCGAGUUGUAAUUUGCAGAGGGCGCUUUGGCUUUGGCAGCGGUCCAAGUUCCUUGGAACAGGACGUCACAGAGGGUGAGAAUCCCGUACGUGGUCGCUGGCUAUUGCCGUGUAAAGCCCCUUCGACGAGUCGAGUUGUUUGGGAAUGCAGCUCUAAAUGGGAGGUACAUUUCUUCUAAAGCUAAAUAUUGGCCAGAGACCGAUAGCGCACAAGUAGAGUGAUCGAAAGAUGAAAAGAAUC
rnacentral:rRNA from 1 species